AGUAAAAUGGCUGAUAAAAGUGAUAAAUUGUAAAUUUAUUUAUAAGAAUAAUUUCUUUUUUACUA
rnacentral:tRNA from 1 species